UGCGGAGGAUCAUUAUUGAAUAAUCGUGAUAGGUUGUUGCUGGCUCUAGGAGGAGUAUGUGCACGCUUGUCAUCCUUUAUUUUUCCAAUCUGUGCACUUUUUGUAGACACCUAGGAAUUGUCUACGGAUAGCCUGAGGACUGCUGCGUCUUGCCACCAGCUUUGCCUUGUUAUAUCCUAGGUUCUAUGUCUUUUACAAUACUCCUUUGAAUGUAAUAGAAUGUUGACCUGGGUUUUUUGUACCUAUACAAGUUGUAUUACAACUUUCAGCAACGGAUCUCUUGGCUCUCGCAUCGAUGAAGAACGCAGCGAAAUGCGAUAAGUAAUGUGAAUUGCAGAAUUCAGUGAAUCAUCGAAUCUUUGAACGCAUCUUGCGCUCCUUGGUAUUCCGAGGAGCAUGCCUGUUUGAGUGUCAUUAAAUUCUCAACUAUACUGAUUUUUAUUGGUGUAGCUUGGAUUUGGGGAAAGCAGGCUUUUGUAAAUGAAGUCGGGCUGCCCUGAAAUGAAUUAGCGGUACCUUGGUAGAACUGUCUACAGGUGUGAUAAUUAUCUAUGCCUUGGAUUUCUGCGUUAAAUAGGGUGAUACUGCUUCCAACUAAACAUGUAAUGACAAUCUUGACCUCAAAUCAGGUAGGACUACCCGCUGAACUUAAGCAUAUCAAUAAGGCGGAGGAA
rnacentral:rRNA from 1 species